rnacentral:rRNA from 1 species
GGGUGAGUAAUAGGUAGGUAACCUACCUCAUACUGAGGCAUAGCUGGGAGAAAUUCCAGGUAAUUCCUCAUGAGGUUAUAUGACACAUGUGAUAUAAUCAAAGGUAUCGCAAGGUACUGGUAUGAGAUGGGCUUACUGACCAUUAGCUAGUUGGUGAGAUAAGAGCUCACCAAGGCGAAGAUGGUUAGGGGUUUUGAGAGAGAGAUCCCCCACAUUGGAACUGAGAUACGGUCCAGACUCCUACGGGAGGCAGCAGUAGGGAAUAUUGGGCAAUGGGCGGAAGCCUGACCCAGCCAUGCCGCGUGAAGGAAGACGGCCUUAUGGGUUGUAAACUUCUUUACUAUGCGACUAACUAGAUUUACGAGAUAAUUCUAUAGAAUGUAGCAUAGCAAAAAGCACCGGCUAACUCCGUGCCAGCAGCCGCGGUAAUACGGAGGGUGCGAGCGUUAUUCGGAAUUACUGGGUUUAAAGGGUGCGUAGGCGGCUAAGUAAGUUGUCAUUGAAAGGCUACAGCUCAACUGUAGUAGUGGUGGCGAUACUGCUUAGCUAAGAACAUGGGAGGGGUACUUGGAAUGUGUGGUGUAGCGGUGAAAUGCGUAGAUAUCACACAGAACACCAGAGGCGAAGGCGGAGUACUAGACCAUAGUUGACGCUGAGGCACGAAAGCGUGGGGAUCAAACAGGAUUAGAUACCCUGGUAGUCCACGCCCUAAACGAUGAUCACUAGAUAUUGGCGACAAACAGUCAGUGUCCAAGCGAAAGUGAUAAGUGAUCCACCUGGGGACUACGGCCGCAAGGUUAAAACUCAAAGGAA